UACGUAGGGGGCAAGCGUUGUCCGGAUUUAUUGGGCGUAAAGAGCGUGUAGGCGGCCUUACAGGUCAGCUGUGAAAACUCGAGGCUCAACCUCGAGACGUCGGUUGAAACCGUAUGGCUAGAGUCCGGAAGAGGAGAGUGGAAUUCCCGGUGUAGCGGUGAAAUGCGCAGAGUAUCGGGAAGAACACCCGUGGCGAAGGCGGCUCUCUGGGACGGUAUUGACGCUGAGGCACGAAAGCGUGGGGAUCAAACAGGAGU
rnacentral:rRNA from 1 species